CACGGUGCUGGACGGCUGUUGCCUGCCCAAGUGCAACCUCCGCAUGCAUCGUUGGGGGCGCGGGAAGGCUCCAGCGGCCCUGGAGGACAGAACGUCCAGCAGUUUGCAGAUGGCCAGGCCCCAGAAGACUCUGCUAGCCCUUCCUCAGAGAGAAGGGGUCCAGGCAGCCGCUGUGGCACCCACCCUGUUGCCUAACUUGAAGAGGAGCUGCUUCGACCAUGCUCUGCACCAGGGGCUCCUCCACCCCACCCGGCGGCGCUGCAGUCCCACCUCAGCUCCAAAUCCCAAAUUGUCAAAGAAGCGCAAAGUGCAUGCAGCCGGGGACGUGUUCCCCACUGAUUGGAGCCCACCACCCAUAGAGUUCCUGAACUUGAGGGUACCACAGGCCAGCAAGGGGGCCCCAGCACAGAGGUGGGUAGGCCCAGGGGGCCCUCAGGGCCUGAGGACAUGGGCUCCCCAGCUGCCUGAGGAGUUAGGCCAGGAGCCCCAGGACUUGGACCCCCAGGGGAGCCUGACCUCACUGGAGGAGCUGUUCUGGAAUAUGGCAGGCCCAAGCCAGAAGGCUACAGCUCCAGUGGUGGACACCCACACCUUGUUCAUCUCUGGAGCCUCGGAGAGCUAUGCCAAUAGCUUAGAUUACUUACUACAGGAGAAGCGGGAACAGGCCCUAGAGCAGGAGCGAGAGAAGCUGCUUCUGCAUGAUUGUCCUGACCUCUACUCCCUGCAUCUGGCUGAAGAUGAGGCGCCUCUCACACCUGAGCACAGGAUGCUGGUGGAGAGGUUCUCCAUGUCACUACAGGUCAUCCCACCAGUACAUCCCGGUGAAACCGUGUUUCUACCCAGGCGUCAUCCCCUGUAUUGCAUCCUGGACUGUUCACACCUGAAGCCACGUAGCCACCUGGAAGGGCUCUUCCUCAGCUGCCCACUGGCCCAGCAGCUCUCCUUCCUGCGCAGUGGCCUCCUGAGCAACCUCUACCUGCACACCCCCGACUGCCCUGUGCCCCUGCUCCAGUGGCUCUUCCAGCUGCUGACAUGGCCUCCAGAAACUUCUUCAGGAGCCUUUGGCCUCCUGUGGGAUCUCAGUGUGAAUGGGCUCUUCCAUCAGUCUGAUGGAGACAAGCACUGGUGGUGCCCCUCCCUGCAAGAGGUCACGGAGGUGUUUCACAGCCUGGGAGCCUGUAGCCCUGCUCUGGGCCUGCGUGAGCCCUGUCAGCACAGUGGGAGGGUGCUUAAAAAUAGCACUAGCCUGAACUGGAGUGAGCAGGAGGACGCCCCCCUGGAGAUUGCCUUGGAUGUCAGCCUGAACUACAUCUACAAGUUCCUAGCGCUGUGUGCCCUAGCCCAGCCAGGGGCCUACACUGAUGGGGACCUCCUGGGCCUGAUUGAGCUGCUGUGCCGAGUUGGCCUGGAUGUGGGGCUUCGCCUGCUUCCCAAGACUGAUCUUCAGCAGCUUCUGCUUCUGCUCCUCGAGAACAUCCAUGAGUGGCCAAGGAAGCUCCAGAAGCUGUGCUGCAGCCUGAGCGAGGUGUCAGAUCACCACCACAACCUGCUGGCGCUCGUGCAGUUCUUCCUGGACGUGACCUCCCGGAGCAGGCAGCUUCGAAGCCAGCUCAGCCUUGUGGUCAUUGCCCGGAUGCUAGACCAGCAAGAGACGCUCCCUCUCUGGCAAGAGAAGGCCCAGCUGUCUUUGCUCAGCCAGCUUCUGAGCCUCAUGAGGCCAUCAUCCCUCAGACAGUACCUGGGCUCUGAAACCUUGCCACCCUGCCAGGAGCAACAGCCAAAGACCAAUGCUGAACUAGACCACAAGAGCCCAUCUGGCAGCAAAUGUCUGUUCAACAACCAGAGAAGAAGAGGAGGAAGCGGGCUGAGGGUCUGCUACCUGUGCCACAGCCUUCUGACACUGGCCGGGGUGGUGGUCAGCUGCCAGGACAUUACUCCAGACCAGUGGGGAGAGCUGCAGCUGCUGUGCAUGCAGUUGGACCGCCACAUCAACACCCAUAUCCGGGAGAGCCCCCACGCCAUGCACCGGACCAGACUCAAGGACCUGGCGGCCCAGACCUACGUCCGCUGGCAGGAACUCCUGGCUCACUGCCAACCCCAGGUGGUGCCCCCUCAAGCCCCCCGCUUAGGAGGGGAAGGAAGUGGUCAGGUGGGCUGCCCAGAGCCAGCAGCAUGCCAACCCCCACUGCAACUCCUGAGCUCCUGACUGGCAGAUGGGUGGAGAAGGCAUCAUGGGGUGUGGAGCUGCCUUGGAGGACCUUCAUCUUUCUUAUCAAGAAUCAAAUGCCCUGGGGCGCCUGGGUGGCUCAGUCGGUUUAGCAGUUAAGCAUGGGGACUCUUGAUUUCGGCUCAGGUCAGAUCUCCUUGGUUCUGAGCCCUGAGGCAGACUCUGAGCUGACAUUGAGGAGGAGCCUGCUUGGGGUUCUCUCUCCCUGCCCUCUCUCUCUGCCAUUCCCCACGUGUGUGUGUGUGUGUGUGUGUGUGUGUGUGUGUGUGUGUGUGUAUGUACUCUUUCUCUCAAAAGAAAUAAAUAAACUUUAAAAAAAAAAAAAAGGAUCAAAUGCCCAGUGUGGGGGUAUAGUGAGGGAGAAACAGAGAGCCCAAUUCCUGGGCAAAUGCAAAGAAAAACUUCACCCUAAAGAGGGUAGAGCCUGGGCCAGGAGUAGCAGUGAGCAGGGCCAGGAAGGGGCACCAGAGGACCCAACUGUCUACCCUCUUCCCACUUGUUCUGCAGGCCUGAGGCUGGCCUCCUACUCUGCUGAAAGGGACCCUCUCAGUCUGCCCUGGUCUCUCCAAUUUCUGUAGCAACAACCUCCACACCCCUGAUUUUCUCAAGUUCUCUAGGCCCAGUACUUCAGCCCCUGGAAAGACUAAAGGAGCAGGGCAGGGCCGGCCCUAGGCUCUUGGCUCUGGCAGGAAGCGAACAGGGCUCAGGGAACAGGAGGAAGCUAAGAACAACAGAGGCGAGAGGAGGACCAGUGUGGUGAAGCAAGAGCCUGCCUCCACACAGCCCCUGACCCCCACCAGGCAACGGAUAUGGCCUCUGCCUGCCUGGCCCACCCCUCCGCUCUCCUUCCCUCCCAGCCAUCUCCUAUGCCCCAAGGCCUUUGUCUCCACACUCCGGUUUCCCAGGGCCUCCUGGGCCCUCCCACCCUCCUUCCUCUCUCCGUCACUAAUGUGAGCUUUCUUUGUGCACACUAAAGUCUUAUUUCAGCA